AUCAUGGCUCAGGACGAACGCUGGCGCGUGCCUAAUACAUGCAAGUCGAGCGGACAGAAGGGAGCUUGCUCCCGGAUGUUAGCGGCGGACGGGUGAGUAACACGUGGGUAACCUGCCUGUAAGACUGGGAUAACUCCGGGAAACCGGAGCUAAUACCGGAUAGUUCCUUGAACCGCAUGGUUCAAGGAUGAAAGACGGUUUCGGCUGUCACUUACAGAUGGACCCGCGGCGCAUUAGCUAGUUGGUGAGGUAACGGCUCACCAAGGCGACGAUGCGUAGCCGACCUGAGAGGGUGAUCGGCCACACUGGGACUGAGACACGGCCCAGACUCCUACGGGAGGCAGCAGUAGGGAAUCUUCCGCAAUGGACGAAAGUCUGACGGAGCAACGCCGCGUGAGUGAUGAAGGUUUUCGGAUCGUAAAGCUCUGUUGUUAGGGAAGAACAAGUGCAAGAGUAACUGCUUGCACCUUGACGGUACCUAACCAGAAAGCCACGGCUAACUACGUGCCAGCAGCCGCGGUAAUACGUAGGUGGCAAGCGUUGUCCGGAAUUAUUGGGCGUAAAGGGCUCGCAGGCGGUUUCUUAAGUCUGAUGUGAAAGCCCCCGGCUCAACCGGGGAGGGUCAUUGGAAACUGGGAAACUUGAGUGCAGAAGAGGAGAGUGGAAUUCCACGUGUAGCGGUGAAAUGCGUAGAGAUGUGGAGGAACACCAGUGGCGAAGGCGACUCUCUGGUCUGUAACUGACGCUGAGGAGCGAAAGCGUGGGGAGCGAACAGGAUUAGAUACCCUGGUAGUCCACGCCGUAAACGAUGAGUGCUAAGUGUUAGGGGGUUUCCGCCCCUUAGUGCUGCAGCUAACGCAUUAAGCACUCCGCCUGGGGAGUACGGUCGCAAGACUGAAACUCAAAUGAUUUG
rnacentral:rRNA from 1 species